rnacentral:rRNA from 1 species
UUCCGGUUGAUCCUGCCGGACCUGACUGCUAUCGGAUUGAUACUAAGCCAUGCGAGUCAUUGUAGCAAUACAAGGCAGACGGCUCAGUAACGCGUAGUCAACCUACCCUAUGGACGGGAAUAACCUCGGGAAACUGAGUAUAAUGCCCGAUAGAACAUUAUACCUGGAAUGGUUUAUGUUCCAAAUGAUUUAUCGCCGUAGGAUGGGACUGCGGCCUAUCAGUUUGUUGGUGAGGUAAUGGCCCACCAAGACUAUUACAGGUACGGGCUCUGAGAGGAGUGGCCCGGAGAUGGGUACUGAGACACGGACCCAGGCCCUAUGGGGCGCAGCAGGCGAGAAAACUUUGCAAUGUGCGAAAGCACGACAAGGUUAAUCCGAGUGGUUUCUGCUAAAGGAACCUUUUGUUAGUCCUAGAAACACUAACGAAUAAGGGGUGGGCAAGUUCUGGUGUCAGCCGCCGCGGUAAAACCAGCACCUCAAGUGGUCAGGAUGAUUAUUGGGCCUAAAGCAUCCGUAGCCGGCUCUGUAAGUUUUCGGUUAAAUCUGUACGCUUAACGUACAGGCCGCCGGAAAUACUGCAGAGCUAGGGAGUGGGAGAGGUAGACGGUACUCGGGAGGAAGUGGUAAAAUGCUUUGAUCUCUCGAUGACCACCUGUGGCGAAGGCGGUCUACCAGAACACGUCCGACGGUGAGGGAUGAAAGCUGGGGGAGCAAACCGGAUUAGAUACCCGGGUAGUCCCAGCUGUAAACUAUGCAAACUCAGUGAUGCAUUGGCUUGUGGCCAAUGCAGUGUUGCAGGGAAGCCGUUAAGUUUGCCGCCUGGGAAGUACGUACGCAAGUAUGAAACUUAAAGGAAUUGGCGGGGGAGCACCACAAGGGGUGAAGCCUGCGGUUCAAUUGGAGUCAACGCCGGGA